AGUCCAGCCUGUGUCUGUCUCAAUUACCUACCUUGAGGUCAUUUCAAGAAAUCCAGGUCUUGCCAGGCGGUGGUGGUGCACACCUUUAAUCCCAGCACUCAGGAGGCAGAGGCAGGUGGAUCUCUGUGAGUUUGAGGCCAGCCUGGUCUACAAGAGCUAGUUCCACCAAACUAGCACCAAAGCUACAGAGAAACCUUGUCUCGAAAAAUCCAAAAGAAAAAAAAGAAAAAAAAGAAAUCCAGGUCUUGGCCUGAACUAUUCAAGGGAAACUUGUCGACUGUCAGGUACAGUAGCAGCUUAGUAAACACUUAGAACACCUUUAAUCAUCUGGAUUUAACACACUUCUGUUCUCCACCAUGAGCCUACUGCACGGGGAUUCCACUUCACUUCUGGUGUCCUUGUGACACCCAGUCACAGAAGAGCCCCAUGGGCCCAGGAGACAAGCAGGGAGGCCUUCCAAGCUAGAGCUCCUCCUGCCCCAAAUCCUUAGGCAUCAGUGGAUCAGAGGUGGGAAGGGGACAGGGAGGAAGCCAUUCUAAGCUGAGAGCAGAUAUCAUACUGGUUUCUUUGAAAGACCACCUUCUUUAUUCAAUAGGCAACUGGGUUCUAUGAAUUCUUGCUUCCCACCCAUCUGACACAGCCAUCCAAUUCAAUCUGGGUUCUCUAGCAUUUGGAGUCCAACAUCCAGGGUUCAAGUGUCCUCACAGCAACCUGGCCCCGAAGAGCCCUCCUGGGCAUCUCACAGGUGGGAUGUCCAAUAUUCAUGUCCAUCAGGAAGGGGGAGGGAAAACCUUGACUCCUAAAGGUUUCUGGUUGGAAGGGGGACUCAAUUUCUGCAGUGUAUAUGUAGCAACCAGCAUUGGAACCGGGACUGGGAUUCCCCACAGGGUUGAACACUUCAAGAAAACUGGAUGACUGUUAUAUAUGCAGCCCACCCACCUAAAUCCCAAAAUAAAGAUUCAGGCUAUCAAACCAAAUUGUGCCUACCUGCCCAGGAAAUCUCAAGGGACCACAAAGGCUCUUGCCCGGCACAGUACAGUACAGUGGCACGAGAACUGUACUGAGAAUAAUGCAGGCGCAGGCAUUACAGAGUGGAUGAACAUGUGCUUGGUGUAGUUUUUCCGAGAACUGAAAGUCUUGCGGCAGUGACUACACUCAUAGGCGGGUUGCUCAGUACCCGAGGCACCGGAGACACGCACAGGAGGGCCUGAGAUGGCUGUUGCAGGAGCAGCAGGGGCAGCAGGCGGACACGUAACUAUCUGGGAACACAUCCUCGGUCACCGUAGUCCCCCGAAGGAAAUCUCUCCCGGCACCACCAUAAUCUGUGAUGCCAGUGGAUGCAGGCUGGUCCUCACGUGCACUGUCAGCUGUGGUGGUGAGGAAGCCCCCUGAGCAGUCGGGAAAAGCAAGGGGCGCCUGGCCCUCUCCCGGGCCUACGCCGCCACCUUCACCUUCUUCAGCGUCGGUCUCUUCAUCAGUCUCUUCGUCGUCAUCCUCUUCACCUCUGUCUUCAGGGGCGGCAGUCAGCGCAGGCUCGGUAUCCGGCCCCUCAGCCUUGAUAGGUGCUGGGGGCGCAGGCAGCUGCAGACGUGCAGGCUGGCGCUGUUUGCGGCUGUGCGCUGCGCUGGGGUGACCCGGGGGGCGGGCCGCCAGCAAGUGGCGUAGACGGUGGCGCAGUUGCGCGGGAGCAAGUGGCGGGGGCACGGGUGGUGGCAGAGGUGCAGGUGCCGGGGUGCUGGGGACACGGGCACGCGCUAUGAUUUGUGUGCACUCAUCAAUGACGGUUUGGAUGCGAAGCACCGAAGCUGCUGUGAGCACCUGUAGCGCUUCGCCCUGAGCCACCACCAAGGAGCCACUGUACAGGAACUCGACCAGCUGGCGCACCGUCUGCGCAGGCACAACUGGUGGCACACGUAUUUCUGAAUGGCCAAGCAAUAACUUAUCCUGGAAGAAGGGCGAGCCCGCGGCCAGCACGCAGCGGUGCGCACGCAGAGAAGCUUCACGGAUGCGCACAGUCACAUCGCAGAAGUGACCGCCUAGCCUCUGCCCAUUGAGGGUCUCCAGAAGUGAGCGCGAAAAGUUCUGUAAGUGGAUGUGGUGCACCGCCUCGGUCGCUGCCAUCUGCGGGAUGAGGAGACAAUGGGGAUUGGGCUAUCAGCUAAGGACUCUGCCAUCCUAUGUCCUGGUCCCUUUAAUCCUUAUCACAGAAUCCAACAAUGCAUCCCACCUCAUACAUCCCUCAUCAAAGUCCUUGAACCAACACAUAAAACACGUCAGCACUCCUGGCCUAGGUACUCCUCAAUGCCCUCUAUCCCUGCAACACCAGCAUAUAUAUCCCGUUUUAUGCCCCAAGAAGAUCUAGGCUUAGCCUCCUUCUGGGAACUUACCUAGCCCCCACCUUUAAUAUUUCUAAAUCACAGGACGCCCUCCUCUCAAGGGGAUGGUCUUCUUUAAAACAAAUGCCAGUAACUCCCAUUCAAAACUGGCUACCCUGUCUCACUGAGAACGACCUCCCCAGGAAAGCAAUAAGCUACUAUCUCACUUCCACCAAGCUACCCAUGACCCUUUCCUCUAUGGUUGUUUUCUUUCUUUUCUAUUCUCCCCUAGCCAGAUUUCCUUAUCCUAGCACCUCUAAGGCCCAAGAGUACUACCUUAGAAGCUCGUGCCAUUAGCUGCUGUGUGGGGGUGGAUGCACCUGCCUCCUGGCGAAUAUGGGAGCACCUCUUCAGGCUGGGCACCAGUGUCCCUCAUACCCAAGGAAAGCAAAUAAAUACUACCUAUAACAAA